AUUGAACGCUGGCGGCAGGCCUAACACAUGCAAGUCGAGCGAGCGGCGGACGGGUGAGUAAUGUAUGGGGACUGCCCGAUAGAGGGGGAUCACUGCUGGAAACGGUAGCUAAUACCGCAUACUAUCGGAUAACCCAUAUGGGAUUAGAUAGUAGUUGAGGUAAUGGCUCACCUAGGCGACGAUCCCUAGCUGGGCUGAGAGGCUGAUCAGGCACACGGGGACGGAGACACGGCCCAGACUCCUACGGAGGCAGCAGGGGGGAAUAUUGCAAAAUGGGCGCAAGCCUGAUGCAGCCAUGCCGCGUGUAUGAAGAAGGCCCUAGGGUGGUAAAGUACUUGCAGUCGGGAGGCGUUACCGACAGAAGAAGCACCGGCUAACUCCGUGCCAGCAGCCGCGGUAAUAC
rnacentral:rRNA from 1 species